rnacentral:rRNA from 1 species
GAUCAACGCUGGCGGCGUGCUUAACACAUGCAAGUCGAACGAAGUUUUUCCUUCGGGAGCAACUUAGUGGCGGACGGGUGCGUAACGCGUGGGUAACCUGCCCUGUACAGGGGGACAACAGCUGGAAACGGCUGCUAAUACCGCAUAAGCACUUAGCACUGCAUGGUGCAUAGGGAAAAGGAGCAAUCCGGUACAGGAUGGACCCGCGUCUGAUUAGCCAGUUGGCAGGGUAACGGCCUACCAAAGCGACGAUCAGUAGCCGAUCUGAGAGGAUGUACGGCCACAUUGGGACUGAGACACGGCCCAGACUCCUACGGGAGGCAGCAGUGGGGAAUAUUGCACAAUGGAGGAAACUCUGAUGCAGCGACGCCGCGUGAGUGAAGAAGUAUUUCGGUAUGUAAAGCUCUAUCAGCAGGGAAGAAAAUGACGGUACCUGACUAAGAAGCACCGGCUAAAUACGUG